GUGAGGAAUAUUGGACAAUGGGCGCAAGCCUGAUCCAGCCAUGCCGCGUGCAGGAAGACGCAUCUAUGGUGUGUAAACUGCUUUUGUACGGGAAGAAACACUCCCUCGUGAGGGAGCUUGACGGUACCGUAAGAAUAAGGAUCGGCUAACUCCGUGCCAGCAGCCGCGGUAAUACGGAGGAUCCAAGCGUUAUCCGGAAUCAUUGGGUUUAAAGGGUCCGUAGGCGGUUUAAUAAGUCAGUGGUGAAAGCCCAUCGCUCAACGAUGGAACGGCCAUUGAUACUGUUAGACUUGAAUUACAAGGAAGUAACUAGAAUAUGUAGUGUAGCGGUGAAAUGCUUAGAUAUUACAUGGAAUACCAAGUGCGAAGGCAGGUUACUACUUGUGGAUUGACGCUGAUGGACGAAAGCGUGGGGAGCGAACAGGAUUAGAUACCCGGGUAGUCC
rnacentral:rRNA from 1 species